GAGUAAUGUCUGGGAAACUGCCUGAUGGAGGGGGAUAACUACUGGAAACGGUAGCUAAUACCGCAUAACGUCGCAAGACCAAAGAGGGGGACCUUCGGGCCUCUUGCCAUCGGAUGUGCCCAGAUGGGAUUAGCUAGUAGGUGGGGUAACGGCUCACCUAGGCGACGAUCCCUAGCUGGUCUGAGAGGAUGACCAGCCACACUGGAACUGAGACACGGUCCAGACUCCUACGGGAGGCAGCAGUGGGGAAUAUUGCACAAUGGGCGCAAGCCUGAUGCAGCCAUGCCGCGUGUAUGAAGAAGGCCUUCGGGUUGUAAAGUACUUUCAGCGGGGAGGAAGGGAGU
rnacentral:rRNA from 1 species